rnacentral:tRNA from 1 species
UGGUAAUUAGUUUAAUUAAAAUUAA